UGUGAGUGGCGUAUGGACGACAGAGCCGAGGAAAAGGGAAAAUCGAUCCGGAGAAGUGGUGUUGACAACCACAGCAGCCGGGAAGAUCAGCCACCCUGGCCACGUGUGGACGGACCCUCGCCAGGAUCAUGGGUUUUCCCUUCCGGGAUCGGAACGCGGGAGCUAGACGCGCUGCGUGUGAGCAGCACAGAAAACCACGGUUGCCGCCCCAUGAAGCCUUCAGUCUAGAGAGGGAUCCGCCCAGAAGUUACCCAAGGAACAGACAAUUACAAGUUAUAAUUCUCUGAAGGAAACAUAUGGAGUGUUAUUGGUGAAUGUGAAAAGGGCAACAAAUACAGUUUGUGACAUCAGAAAAGAA